UGGGGAAUAUUGCGCAAUGGGGGCAACCCUGACGCAGCAACGCCGCGUGAUUGAAGAAGGCCUUCGGGUUGUAAAGAUCUUUAAUCAGGGACGAAGAAUGACGGUACCUGAAGAAUAAGCUCCGGCUAACUACGUGCCAGCAGCCGCGGUAAUACGUAGGGAGCAAGCGUUAUCCGGAUUUACUGGGUGUAAAGGGCGCGCAGGCGGGCCGGCAAGUUGGGAGUGAAAUCCGGGGGCUUAACCCACGAACUGCUUUCAAAACUGCUGGUCUUGAGUGAUGGAGAGGCAGGCGGAAUUCCGUGUGUAGCGGUGAAAUGCGUAGAUAUACGGAGGAACACCAGUGGCGAAGGCGGCCUGCUGGACAUUAACUGACGCUGAGGCGCGAAAGCGUGGGGAGCAAACA
rnacentral:rRNA from 1 species